rnacentral:ncRNA from 1 species
GUCAGUUCGUGGUUUGAACUGUUCCCUUCAGUGGGGUAACGAACGCAACCCCUGUUGUCUGUUGCCUAUAUGGCCAGGCGAGACUGCUCCCUCACGGGAGAGGAAGGUGGGGAUGACGCCAGAUCAGCAUGUCCCUCUGAUACCUUGGGCUGCACGCAUAAUACAAUCGCCGGUACAACGGGUUGCAAUAUCGCAAGAUGGAGCCAAUCCUUAUAAAACCGGCGCCAGUACGGAUUGAGGUCUGCAACCGACCUCAUGAAGCCGGAAUCGCUAGUAAUCCCGGGUCAGCCAAACCGGGGUGAAUACGUUCUCGAGUCUUGUACUCGGGUCGCCAUGCGAUCCGAGCAUCUAGUUGGUGCCUCUUGUAAUAGAGAAGUCCAACCACGCUGUGGCGGCGUGAAGCGAAAUCGCAGUGUUGAUACCGCGAGGUAUGACAUGAAGGGCGAAAGU